rnacentral:rRNA from 1 species
AACGAACGCUGGCGGCAUGCCUAACACAUUCAAGUCGAACGAGACCUUCGGGUCUAGUGGCGCAAGGGUGCGUAACGCGUGGGAACCUGCCCUUAGGUUCGGAAUAACUCCCCGAAAGGGGUGCUAAUACCGGAUAAUGUCUUCGGACCAAAGAUUUAUCUCCUUUGGAUGGGCCCGCGUUGGAUUAGCUAGUUGGUAGGGUAAAAGCCUACCAAGUCGACGAUCCAUAGCUGGUCUGAGAGGAUGAUCAGCCACACUGGGACUGAGACACGGCCCAGACUCCUACGGGAGGCAGCAGUGGGGAAUAUUAGACAAUGGGCGAGAGCCUGAUCCAGCAAUGCCGCGUGAGUGAUGAAGGCCCUAGGGUUGUAAAUCUCUUUUACCCGGGAUGAUAAUGACAGUACCGGGAGAAUAAGCUCCGGCUAACUCCGUG